rnacentral:rRNA from 1 species
CGUAGGCGGUUUCGGAAGUCAUGGGUGAAAGUCCUCGGCUCAACCGAGGGAUUGCCUGUGAAACCACGGGACUGGAGUGCUGGAGAGGGAAGUGGAAUUCCCAGUGUAGCGGUGAAAUGCGUAGAUAUUGGGAGGAACACCUGUGGCGAAGGCGGCUUCCUGGACAGACACUGACGCUGAGGCGCGAAAGCCAGGGGAGCGAACG